GCAAGUGCGGCUGCUAAUACAUGCAAGUCGAGCGGACAGAUGGGAGCUUGCUCCCUGAUGUUAGCGGCGGACGGGUGAGUAACACGUGGGUAACCUGCCUGUAAGACUGGGAUAACUCCGGGAAACCGGGGCUAAUACCGGAUGGUUGUUUGAACCGCAUGGUUCAAACAUAAAAGGUGGCUUCGGCUACCACUUACAGAUGGACCCGCGGCGCAUUAGCUAGUUGGUGAGGUAACGGCUCACCAAGGCAACGAUGCGUAGCCGACCUGAGAGGGUGAUCGGCCACACUGGGACUGAGACACGGCCCAAACUCCUACGGGAGGCAGCAGUAGGGAAUCUUCCGCAAUGGACGAAAGUCUGACGGAGCAACGCCGCGUGAGUGAUGAAGGUUUUCGGAUCGUAAAGCUCUGUUGUUAGGGAAAAACAAGUACCGUUCGAAUAGGGCGGUACCUUGACGGUACCUAACCAGAAAGCCACGGCUAACUACGUGCCAGCAGCCGCGGUAAUACGUAGGUGGCAAGCGUUGUCCGGAAUUAUUGGGCGUAAAGGGCUCGCAGGCGGUUUCUUAAGUCUGAUGUGAAAGCCCCCGGCUCAACCGGGGAGGGUCAUUGGAAACUGGGGAACUUGAGUGCAGAAGAGGAGAGUGGAAUUCCACGUGUAGCGGUGAAAUGCGUAGAGAUGUGGAGGAACACCAGUGGCGAAGGCGACUCUCUGGUCUGUAACUGACGCUGAGGAGCGAAAGCGUGGGGAGCGAACAGGAUUAGAUACCCUGGUAGUCCACGCCGUAAACGAUGAGUGCUAAGUGUUAGGGGGUUUCCGCCCCUUAGUGCUGCAGCUAACGCAUUAAGCACUCCGCCUGGGGAGUACGGUCGCAAGACUGAAACUCAAAGGAAUUGACGGGGGCCCGCACAAGCGGUGGAGCAUGUGGUUUAAUUCGAAGCACGCGAAGAACCUUACCAGUCUGACAUCUCUGACAUCUAGAGAUAGGACGUCCCUCGGGGCAGAUGACAGUGUGCAUGUCGUCGUCAGCUCGUGUCUGAAAUGUGGGUAGUCCGCACGAGCGCACUUGAUCUAGUGGCAGCAUCAGUUGUCACUCUAAGGUAACUGCGUGACAACGAGAGUGGAUGACUCAUCACAUGCCCUUAUGACCUGCUACACGCCAAUGACAGACAGACGACCAGUAGCAUCAACU
rnacentral:rRNA from 1 species